UGCGCUUACUGCGCGGCUGGGAGACUAAUUCUUACACACUGUGUUUUUUGUUAUUACAAGAACUAUUGCUUUGGCUUGGCUUCGGUUGGGCCAGAGGUUUACCAAACUUCAAUUUCGAUUGAACUGUUUUUUUAAUUUUAAGUCAAUUUGUUUUGAUUGGAUUCAAAAAUAAUCUUCAAAACUUUCAACAACGGAUCUCUUGGUUCUCGCAUCGAUGAAGAACGCAGCGAAAUGCGAUAAGUAAUAUGAAUUGCAGAUUUUCGUGAAUCAUCGAAUCUUUGAACGCACAUUGCGCCCUUUGGUAUUCCGAAGGGCAUGCCUGUUUGAGCGUCAUUUCUCUCUCAAACCGCAAGGUUUGGUAUUGAGUGAUACUCUUAGUCAACUAGGCGUUUGCUUGAAAUGUAGCGGCAUGAGUGUGCUGGAUAGUGCGGCAUGAUUAUUCAAUGUAUUAGGUUUAUCCAACUCGUUGAAGGAUUGUGUGUGUAAAUUUCCUGGCGCUGAGCUCGGCCUUACAACAACAAACAAGUUUGACCUCAAAUCAGGUAGGAUUACCCGCUGAACUUAAGCAUAUCAAUAAGCGGAGGA
rnacentral:rRNA from 1 species